UGACACAGGGAGGUAGUGACAAGAAAUAACAAUACGGGGCUUAAAGUCUUGUAAUUGGAAUGAUGGGAAUUUAAACCUCUUCCAGAGUAUCAAUUGGAGGGCAAGUCUGGUGCCAGCAGCCGCGGUAAUUCCAGCUCCAAUAGCGUAUAUUAAAAUUGUUGCAGUUAAAAAGCUCGUAGUUGAAUUUCUGCUGCAUUGCUUGUGUCCCUCCGGGGUCUGUGCAUGUGGCUUUUUUCGGACGGAGUUUCUUUGUCUGAAUGUUUACUUUGAGAAAAUUAGAGUGCUCAAAGCAGGCUUUUGCCUUGAAUAGUUUAGCAUGGAAUAAUAAAGUAGGACUUUGGUUCUAUUUUGUUGGUUUUAGGUACCAAAGUAAUGGUUAAUAGGAACAGUUGGGGGCAUUCGUAUUUAACUGUCAGAGGUGAAAUUCUUAGAC
rnacentral:rRNA from 1 species